rnacentral:misc_RNA from 1 species
CAACCCCUCAGGCCCUGGUGCCUGGCGUCGGGGCGUUCCCUCGCGGGAAGCCCCCAGAGACAGUGGCGGACCAGUCGCGGCUCCGAGCGCAGUAGUAACAUUCUCGCUUAGGAGGUCUGCGGCGGGCUCCCGGCCGUAAAACCCAGCCGCAAGGCUGACUUCUCAA